GACGAACGCUGGCGGCAGGCCUAACACAUGCAAGUCGAACGAGUGGCGGACGGGUGAGUAAUGUCUGGGAAACUGCCCGAUGGAGGGGGAUAACUACUGGAAACGGUAGCUAAUACCGCAUACCAUCGGAUGUGCCCAGAUGGGAUUAGCUAGUAGGUGGGGUAACGGCUCACCUAGGCGACGAUCCCUAGCUGGUCUGAGAGGCUGACCAGCCACCCUGGAACUGAGACACGGUCCAGACGCAUACGGUAGGCAGCAGUGGGGAAUAUUGAACAAUGGGCGCAAGCCUUAUGCAGCCAUGCCGCGUUGAUGAAGAAGGCGUUCGGGUUGUAAAGUACUUUCAGCGAGGAGGCGUUACUCGCAGAAGAAGCACCGGCUAACUCCGUGCCAGCAGCCGCGGUAAUAC
rnacentral:rRNA from 1 species